rnacentral:rRNA from 1 species
AUGCCGCGUGUGUGAUGAAGGCCUUAGGAUCGUAAAGCACUUUCGCCAGGGAUGAUAAUGACAGUACCUGGUAAAGAAACCCCGGCUAACUCCGUGCCAGCAGCCGCGGUAAUACGGAGGGGGUUAGCGUUGUUCGGAAUUACUGGGCGUAAAGCGCACGUAGGCGGAUCAGAAAGUUGGGGGUGAAAUCCCGGGGCUCAACCCUGGAACUGCCUCCAAAACUCCUGGUCUUGAGUUCGAGAGAGGUGAGUGGAAUUCCGAGUGUAGAGGUGAAAUUCGUAGAUAUUCGGAGGAACACCAGUGGCGAAGGCGGCUCACUGGCUCGAUACUGACGCUGAGGUGCGAAAGUGUGGGGAGCAAACAGGAUUAGAUACCCUGGUAGUCCACACCGUAAACGAUGAAUGCCAGUCGUCGGGCAGUAUACUGUUCGGUGACACACCUAACGGAUUAAGCAUUCCGCCUGGGGAGUACGGUCGCAAGAUUAAAACUCAAAG